GAUGAACGCUAGCUACAGGCUUAACACAUGCAAGUCGAGGGGUCUCGCGGGAGCUUGCUCCCAAGAGACGACCGGCGCACGGGUGAGUAACGCGUAUCCAACCUGCCCUUCAUAUUGGGAUAGCCUUCCGAAAGGAAGAUUAAUACCGAAUAACAUAGAGUGGUUGCCUGAUUUCUCUAUGAAAGCUCCGGCGAUGAAGGAUGGGGAUGCGUUCCAUUAGGUAGUAGGCGGGGUAACGGCCCACCUAGCCAACGAUGGAUAGGGGUUCUGAGAGGAAGGUCCCCCACACUGGAACUGAGACACGGUCCAGACUCCUACGGGAGGCAGCAGUGAGGAAUAUUGGUCAAUGGGCGCAAGCCUGAACCAGCCAAGUAGCGUGAAGGAUGACUGCCCUAUGGGUUGUAAACGUGCUUUUGCGGGAGAAUAACCGGCGCCACGCGUGGCGCCCUGCAUGUAUCCGCGAAUAGGACCGGCUAAUUCCGUGCCAGCAGCCG
rnacentral:rRNA from 1 species